rnacentral:lncRNA from 1 species
UGUCAUGUCCGUUCCUUCACAGAAUAUAUCGAAACAAUUGAAUACCAGCUGAGUACUUUUUUGGGCCAAAAUCAUCCUAACAUCCCGCCAUUGUGGCUUGAACUUGCUGAGCAGUUUGCUAAACGCUAUUUUGAUUCAAACAACGGAAAGUAUUUAUAUGCUAUAGAAGCUAAAAGCUCGGAUAAUUCAUUCGCUCAAAUCAGCGAAGAGCCUAAAGUUCGAUUCCUGGUUGACUGCUUAGUACGGAAAGCAGCUUACUCUCGUGCAGAGAGAUUUGAUUUCCCGUCAUGGUCGUUUUUAGUGCAAGUCAGUUUGUCAAAUUAUAUAUGGAAGGCCACUGAUUUAAAAUAUCUAAAACUUUCUUUUAGUGAAGAUGAGGAUCAAAAUUUUUUUAGGGAAGGAAUCAAUUCUUUAAGUCAACGUCUGCUAAUCCGCAUACCAUUUUUAACAAAUUUGACCCAUUUUCAUGUCAAUGAGUUCUCAGAUGAGCUCAUCGCCAUAUUAUGCAAGAAUUGUAAGUCUCUGGAAUCUCUUAAACUAGGAAAUCUUCGAGAAGAAGCAGGGUUUAUUAAUUAUCAUAUUACAAAUGAAAGCAUCGAAUUUCUUGCUUCUUUAACAAAGUUGAAAACUUUAGAAAUUUAUAUAUUUGAGGAUUUGUUUGCAAGACUUCUUUUGAAGUCCCAAUCUCAUAACUUAACAUACUUUUCAAGUACAAUUGAACAUUGGGAGUUUGAGGGUAGUUUUAUUAAUACGCUCCUAAAGGAAUUAGUCAGUGAAGUUGUGCCCUUCCGUUCUUUUAAUUUGAUCCGUAUAAAAUGUGACGAGCUUGAUUCAGAUCUUUCGUGUUUGGUACCUAAGUAUUUCCCCUAUUUAGAGUCUAUUGAUGUUAUAAACUGCUUGGAUGAUAUGCCAGAACUUUCUUUUCUAGAAUCUUUGAACCAUCUGAAAGCAGUUAAUUUAAAAAUUACUAUAUAUACUUAUAUGCGCUCAUUUUGGCGCACAACUUUCUGGUUUGAAAAUAGCAAAACUUAA